rnacentral:piRNA from 2 species
UAAAACCAGGGUGGGUAUAAAACUUC